UACAUUUACUGUAGAGACACAUACAGUAAUAUCAUUUUUUGUGUACUACAGUAUUGACCUUUCCAAGUAAACUUUUACCUCCUGCUGAAAACAGCAUCUAUAAAGCUCAGUGUGGUACACAUUAGCGUUCAGUUAGACAAUACUGACAUUAUUGUAUAGCAGUAAGCAGUCAGUGUCAACUAAUUAGCUUUGUUAUUAGGGGUCCGAGCAGAAAGGCUGCUUGGGCCCUAUUGUUUCUGUAACAUUUUUUUUUCCUCAAAUUCUGUAAAAGUCAUACUUUCAUACAUACGUACAUUCAGCCUAUACCAUAAGUCAAAAACUCUUGAAAUUCUCAGGUAUGGUUACCAAUAACCCCCUAUAUACCCAGGAACCCAAAUCUGUGGUACUGCACCCAAAGGUGGCGCUAUUGUAAAAAAAUCAUGAAUUAGGCUUAUUUCUCCUCACCAGAUUGACCUGGACUAAAAAUUCUUUCAGAAUAUUAAUCUCUAGAAUCAGACGUAUUUAUAAAACCUUUUCCCGCAAUUUCAUAUUAAAGCUAAACAUGAUAAAAAGAUUCACAGGCUACAAAAAUAAUCAAAAAUUCACCAAAAUGGCCACAUGAAAUCUUUAGACCAAGCCUCACAAAAAUCACCGAACAGAAUUUGUUUUACUUAGUUCCAUUUGAGAAAUAUUGGUCAAUAAAGUUGGAGCAGUUAGCCCAUUUUUCUUAUAUGACCAUUUUGUUAUUGUAUAAACAUAAGACUAUUAUUAGGUGGAUAUCAAUACCCACCACUACUAAUAAACCCAAAUUGUGGUAUUGCACCCAAAGGUGGCGCUAUUUAAAAAAAAUAUGAAGCAGCCUUAUUUCUCCUUACGAGAUUGACCUGGACUCAAAAUUCUUUCAUCAUAUUAAUCUCUAAAAUCAGAUGCAUCUUUUUCACCCUGGUCUUCUGCUCUAAAAAUGUUUACUUUUCUCACAGUUUCAUAGAAAAGCAAAACGUCCAAAGUCUCAACCCAAUAUCAUUGGGUGGAUAACAUUAACAGUGCAAAUUUUCAGAUCUGUACUCUUUUAAGAAAGCCCUUAAUUCUCUUGUGGUUUUCUUGGUGUUGUGUGCUUAUCAAUAGGCUAGACAUUUUCACCAUGUGAAUGAGGCUUCAUGCAGUUCAGGAAUGUAGGCCGUGUUGCAGGGUUUAUUUUCCAACGAAUUUGUGCAAUUUGCUUGUUGGUAAUAAAGAUUUAAACUGUUA
ensembl:lncRNA